rnacentral:lncRNA from 1 species
AGAAGAAAGGGGAAGCAGGUGGAAAAGCAAUUAAAAAAAAAUCAGGUUCUCUUUCGGUGAUUCAGAGCUGAAGGUGCCUCACUGCCCUGUGGAACAGGUGAAUAAAGCCUUCCCAGGAUCUCUCUCUAGCCUAUUAUCUCCUGUUAGACACAGCCCAGAAAAUGAAUAGAGACAAGUCCUGGCUGGGUCUGGGUUCAGAAACAUAAUAGAAGGAUUCAUCUAAUGUGUGCACUUUGGACUAUUUAAAUAGUUCUUAACCACUGAUCUCCUCCCUCAGGGAAGGGAAUUCUUUCCACAGUUGCUAGUUCCUCACACCUCUGCCUCUAUGGGAUUCUCCUGGUCCCCACAUGCUCUGCUGUGUCUUCUAGCUGUCGGCCACUGUGGAGGAAGUGAACCUUCUAGAUCCUGCUGACUCAUACAAUGAGUUUUGUGUGGACCAUCAGACAAAAGGGCUGGCUGGUGAAGGUGGCUGUUGUCUGGAAAUUCCUCCCAGCUCUCCUCUAAUUAUGUCAUAAGGACUGGAGGCCCCUUAGCCUGCUUGUGAUAACACGCAAGGAAAUAUGGGCCAACUCUUCACAUGAACACAAGAUAUUUCCAUGCUAGCCUUUUGCAAGUAACAACAGAGAGAGCUCUGUGCAGUUUUCACUGGAAUGCCUGUGGAUUGCUUGUGUCAUAACUGUAAUCUAAAGAGUUGUCCAUUUGUUGAUUCCUUUGUAUUUGUAUUGGUAGAAUUGCCACUAUCAAACCAAGAUCUUUAGCUGCCUUUGUAUCAACUUCUUUGGAGCUUAUGUGAUUUUCCAGAAAAUUUCCAAGGCAUAGUUUUGUCCCUAAGUCCCAUGAAUAUGUAAUAUUUUGUGUCUCUCUAUUAAAAUAGCACUUUUUGUGCAUUCCAUUAACAAAU